GCAAGUCGAACGAGAAAGCUUCCUUCGGGAAGUGAGUACAGUGGCGAACGGGUGAGUAACACGUGGGUUACCUGCCCUCGAGUGGGGAAUAACCCUGGGAAACCGGGGCUAUUACCGCAUACGGUCUACGGACUAAAGCUUUAUGCGCUCGAGGAGGGGCCCGCGGUCGAUUAGCUAGUUGGUGAGGUAAUGGCUCACCAAGGCAUCGAUCGAUAGCCGGCCUGAGAGGACAAAC
rnacentral:rRNA from 1 species